UUUCCGUAGGUGAACCUGCGGAAGGAUCAUUAAUGAGUUGUCAUGGGGUUCGAUGCUGGCAGCCAAUUUUUGGAUGCAUGUGCUUGCCCUAACAAUCAUCUUCCAAACACCUGUGCACAUUUUUGAGGGAGUCUUGAGUUGGUUGCUGCUCUUGGGUGAUUUUCUCACAUUCCCUUAAAUCAUUAUACGCUAUUAACAAUGUUGAACGUGCUCUGUGCCGCAAGGCUAUUAAUAUAAUACAACUUUUAACAACGGAUCUCUUGGCUCUC
rnacentral:misc_RNA from 1 species